AUAAUUUAUGGUAUUUCCUCAAGCUCAAGUAGGGACAAAGUUCAAAGUGAUGGCCAGUGUCCAAAACGUUUGCAGAUAAUUCAUUAUACCAUUAAUUUUGAUAAAAGAAACAUCAAACUAUUGGUACAAAAUGAAACUGUCAAUAUCAUUUUCUUCUACGGUGCUUCAAGUAAACGGAUUUAAUGAGACAGAAUUCUAACUCCAACAUUGAAAAAUUAAGAUCAAGUGCUGUGGGACUGUUUUAAAUUUUGCUCACUUCAUUCAAAAAUAACAUUGGGACAGAAAUAAAUAUAUCCACAAUAUGUAAUCUAAAGAGUAAAGGCAAAAUAGAGAACUUACACCCAUGUAAAUUAUAACUAAGUAUUUUUAAAGUCUUACUCUGUCCCCUUCUCUUUCAGAGCUAAAUUCACUUUGAACAGCAAGAAAUCGCUUAUCAAAUGAAAACUUUCCACUUUAUGUACAAUAAAUCAAUAAUAAUUCUUAAAAAAUAGUGAUAACUUACUACAAAAAAGGAAAACAUCUGAUUCAAGUGGGGCUUGAACCUACGCCCCCCCCCCCCCCCCCCACCCCGCAACCCCAGAAAAAUCAAAGUUCGUUUAUAGUAGGAAAUGAAUACUCCCUUUUUUUAUUGGUUUAAUACCUUAAAUACGGCAUCUAGCGCAGUGUUAAUGCGUACUUGAUUUGUCCACCGACGUUUAUCUCGAGUGUUCACGAAAGAACAAGCACAUUAAAAUAAAUAUCUUUAGAUCUCUCCCAUUCAUGUUUUCAGAUUGUGUCAAAUGAUAUUAGAUCCUCGUAAAAUAUAAAUUAUUUUGCGCUAAUACACUUAGAAUUAGCCUGAGUCGUUGCGUUCCAAAUUAACUGCUAUCAAGUAGCGGCACAUGCCGCUGAAAGAAGUACGCCAACAAUAACGUAAUAAAGCUAUUAGUUGGCUAACAAAGAAAAUGUCUAAGGGGUCCCUUUGUUAUGUAAAUUUUGUAAUAACAACUAUUCUUUGGCCUGUCUCGGUUGACCAUAUGUUCGUAACGGCAGAGAAAUGUUGGUGUUUAAAUCUACCGUUGACUGCUCACCACUUAACAUAUGCUAACUUGCUUAUCAAUUUUAUUCAUUCGAAUGGCAGGCAUUGACAACAAUGCAUUCAGUACAGUUUUGGUAUUUACCCUGCCUUAUAAACAUUUGUGGAACGAACGCCAAAAUGUAUGCAUAUAUGAUAUGUUAUUGAUAGGAAACUGGAACAUUAUCGAUCAUUAUGCUUUAGGAAGGUGAUCACGCAGCAGGCCUUGUUGCUUCCACCAGACUACAUUUUCCUGGUGAUGUCGAAACCCGGAAGUGAAAUACCCGUGGUUUUCUUACCUCACCUGGAUGCGAAUUCCCAGCGCUGAGAGUCUACGUCCCAUGGUUGUGACUUAACCGCAAAGCUGCCGACCUUCGUAAUCGACUGACUCAGAGAUAGCUCAGGGAUACAAACACUUGAUACGGGGUCCAGAAUGUUUUCAACUUCUUCGCGAUUUGAGUGGACAGUCUAUUAAAAGGUUUUCAUCAUAAUCGUGCUACUCUAAGUUUAAAGUGAAACUGAAGCAUCUGUAAAAUUGUCAUAAUGACAUACUAUAAGUAAUCUGCGAAUUCAGCAUCUUUUGUAUAAAGCAUCAGCUAUUGAGCUCUGUUUGUUCUGUUCUUCCUUUUAGUUUGUUUUUGCGAUUUAUUUAUUGUAAAUACAUAUAUUCAUGUUUUUUUCUGUAAAUAAAUUUGUAAAUAU